GGGUGAGUAAUGCCUAGGAAUCUGCCUGGUAGUGGGGGAUAACGUCCGGAAACGGGCGCUAAUACCGCAUACGUCCUGAGGGAGAAAGUGGGGGAUCUUCGGACCUCACGCUAUCAGAUGAGCCUAGGUCGGAUUAGCUAGUUGGUGGGGUAAAGGCCUACCAAGGCGACGAUCCGUAACUGGUCUGAGAGGAUGAUCAGUCACACUGGAACUGAGACACGGUCCAGACUCCUACGGGAGGCAGCAGUGGGGAAUAUUGGACAAUGGGCGAAAGCCUGAUCCAGCCAUGCCGCGUGUGUGAAGAAGGUCUUCGGAUUGUAAAGCACUUUAAGUUGGGAGGAAGGGCAGUAAGUUAAUACCUUGCUGUUUUGACGUUACCAACAGAAUAAGCACCGGCUAACUUCGUGCCAGCAGCCGCGGUAAUACGAAGGGUGCAAGCGUUAAUCGGAAUUACUGGGCGUAAAGCGCGCGUAGGUGGUUCAGCAAGUUGG
rnacentral:rRNA from 1 species